GUGGAUGGAGAGGACUCGCAUGGGAGGUAUUUUCGCAGCUCCAAGUCUCAGGGAAGCUGAAUUGAAGUCUAGUGAGCUGGUUUGAGAUGGUUUAAAGCACCAAUUGAGGAGUGGUUUUGCUGUAAUUCUUCACCCCAAAGUCAGAGUUAAAGCCUUCGAGGUUUUCAAAUUAAGUUGAGCUGAAUUUGUGACCUUGGGGACUGGUUUAGAGGGUGUUUCAACCUGGGCGAGGCUGCGAUUGACUUUCAGAUUAUCUUUGGCUGA